rnacentral:rRNA from 1 species
GUACCGCAAACCGACACAGGUAGGUAGGAAGAAGAUUCUAAGGCCAACGGGAGAAGGGUUGUUAAGGAACUCGGCAAAUUGACCCCGUAACUUCGGGAGAAGGGGUGCUCCAGAGAUGGAGCCGCAGAGAAUCGGCCCAAGCAACUGUUUACCAAAAACACAGGUUUGUGCUAAAUCGAAAGAUGACGUAUACGAGCUGACGCCUGCCCGGUGCUGGAAGGUUAAGAGGAGAUGUGCAAGCAUUGAAUCGAAGCCCCAGUGAACGGCGGCCGUAACUAUAACGGUCCUAAGGUAGCGAAAUUCCUUGUCAGGUAAGUUCUGACCCGCAUGAAAGGCGUAAUGAUUUGGGCACUGUCUCGACAGCCCGCCCGGCGAAAUUGUAGUACCGGUGAAGAUGCCGGUUACCCGCGACAAGACGGAAAGACCCCAUGGAGCUUUACUGUAGCCUAAUACUGGGUUUCGAUGUUGCAUGCACAGGAUAGAUGGGACACUGGGAAGCAAGUGCUUUGGCAUUUGUGGAGUGGCCGUUGGGAUACCAUCCUUGCGAUAUUGGAAUUCUAACCUGCGCCUUUGAAUCAAGGCGGGGGACAUUGUUAGGUGGGCAGUUUGACUGGGGCGGUCGCCUCCUAAAGAGUAACGGAGGCGUUCAAAGGUUCGCUCAGCUUGAACGGAAAUCAAGCAAAAGAGUGCAAACGCAGAAGCGAGCCUAACUGCGAGACUGACGGGUCGAGCAGUAACGAAAGUUGGAGUUAGUGAUCCGGUGGUUUGUGAGUGGAAAUGCCAUCGCUCAACGGAUAAAAGUUACCCUGGGGAUAACAGGCUAUUCUCCCCCAAGAGUCCACAUCGACGGGGAGGUUUGGCACCUCGAUGUCGGCUCAUCGCAUCCUGGGGCUGUAUUCGGUCCCAAGGGUUUGGCUGUUCGCCAAUUAAAGCGGUACGCGAGCUGGGUUCAGAACGUCGUGAGACAGUUCGGUCCCUAUCUGUCGUGGGCGCAGGAUAUUUGAUGGGAGCUGUUCCUAGUACGAGAGGACCGGAGCGGACGUACCUCUGGCGCACCAGUUGUUCUGCCAAGGGCAUAGCUGGGCAACUAUGUACGGAUCGGAUAAACGCUGAAAGCAUCUAAGCGUGAAGCCGACCCAAAGAUAAGAUAUCCCAUUGUUUCAAACAAGUAAGACCCCUUGAAGACUACAAGGUUGAUAGGCACGAUGUGUAAGUGGAGCGAUCCAUUCAGCAAGCGUGUACUAAUAGGUCGAGGGCUUGACCU